UUGCCAUUUAACAUUUCCUGUUAGUACAUUUUGGGUAAAGUCAUAGUCCUGGAAUGCUACUCAGAGCAUAAAUUAACUACUUAGAGGAAUGCUCAUGUGUAUUUUCCUUCAGGGGCCAACUCAAAGAGACACAUCUCAGUACUACAAGAGAAAUGUUCCCCAAGACCAGUGUGCCGUCCACCUGUGUCAUCUGGUGUGUACAAGAUGUGCUGGGACUUUUAACAGCACCUUUUUGCAGCAGAAAUCACAGCAUGCCUCCUCCCAUCAGCGUCCUGCGUUCCUGCUGUAGACUUCUGCAUUCGUAGAAGAGCCCAGAGCAGCUCUGUGUCUGAUCUGUGGAAAGAGAAUCUGUUGGAUGAGCUGCUCAAUGUGGUGGAGUCAGUUAGCCAUGUGAAGGACACAGAACUGCUUCUGAGG